CCAGAGCAACAGCAUCAUAGUUUUGCACUCUUGCAUCAAAAGCUGAACAAACUCAACAAGCUACUUCCCCCAGGCCGACGUAGGUAUGAGAGGGAAGAGCAGAGGGGAGAUGUGCCAUGCUUUGUGCCACUGUGUGCCAGGGCUUCAGCCCAGGCAGGCACAGCUCUACUGUGCUGCUGAUCUGGACUACGGUUUUUGGCAAUGGCUUUGGGAAGAAGGAAGAUCUACAGAAGGAGAGAAGUUGCUUGGAGACUUACUCCUGACAGUAUCCUAUAAAGAGCAUCAAGUAAAGGUGAAUGACUGUAGAGCAGACUACAGAAUAAGGCUCACCUGCCCCUGGACUGGCUCUACAGCUUCAGCAAGGUCUUGUGUGAGCAGAGAGGACUUCUCUGGCCUGCCAGCAGUACCACCAGAUGAGGCUGCAGCAAAGAGCCUCUCCUCACAAACCAGUCUGACCUGGGAGGCCCCGUAAGCGAAACCACAGACCACACUCUGCUGGUACAGUAUCCAUUGGCUGCUGGGGAGCUCUGCUGGAUGGUGAGCACAUCCUGAAUGAGCUACUGGUCAGAACAAAACCCCAGCCCUUCAGCAGAAAAGAGUGAAAUAAAAAUUUAAAGCAGGU
rnacentral:lncRNA from 1 species